rfam:Acyrthosiphon pisum strain LSR1 Contig8092, whole genome shotgun sequence.
UUUCGAAUUCAGAAAUCAUAACUUGUCUCAAAGAUUAAGCAUUGCAUGUCUCAGUGCAUGCCGCAUUAAGGUGAAAAAAAGGCUCAUUAAAUCAGUUUUAGUUUUUUAGAUCGUACCCAAGUUACUUGGAUAACUGUGGUAAUUCUAGAGCUAAUACAUGCCGACAGAGUUCCGACCGUCGCGGCGCGCCUCGUGCGCGUCCCGAUCGCGGCCCGCGCAAAGACCUGGUGACUCUGAAUAACUUCGAAUGGCGACGCAUCUUUCAAAUGUCUGCCUUAUCAACUGUCGAUGGUAGGUUCCAUGCCUACCAUGGUGGUAACGGGUAACGGGGAAUCAGGGUUCGAUUCCGGAGAGGGAGCCUGACAAACGGCUACAACAUCCAAGGAAGGCAGCAGGUGCGCAAAUUACCCACUCCCGGAAAGGGGAGGUAGUGACGACAAAUAACGAUACGGGACUCAUCCGAGGCCCCGUAAUCGGAAUGAGAACACUUUAAAACCUUUAAACGAGGAUCAAUUGGAAGGCAAAUUUGGUGCCAGCAGCCGCGGUAAUUCCAGCUCCAAUAGCGUAUAUUAAAGUUGUUGCGGUUAAAAAGCUCGUAGUCGGGUCUGUGUCUGGACGGUGCUGGAUCACCCUGGCGGUCCGUCGUGUCGCGGCCGGCCACGUCGCGGGACCACGUGUCCCGUCGGCGCGGUCGCCGUCGCGCUUGUCAGCCGUCCGGGGUGUUAGUUACGUCGGCCGGACGUAUUGUCGGCAGGCGAACACGUGUCUCAUGCUUCCGGCGCGCCUCGCGGCCAUCGGUGUUCGACGACGGCGGCCACCUACUCCAAUCUUGCUGCGCGGUGCUCUUCACCGAGUGCCGCCGGCGGGCCGACACGUUUACUUUGAACAAAUUAGAGUGCUCAAAGCAGGCUCGAAUCUGGCGGGGCGGCUUCACGGCCGUCUCGUCAAAAGCCCUGAAUACUGGUCGCAUGGAAUAAUGGAACAAAACCUCGGUCCCGCGCAUCUCCGCCCGUCUAGGGCUCGCGAAAUCGCCCUCCCGGGCGUUCCCGUGCGUGGGCCGCCAGGCCGGUUUUCGGGACCGGAGGUAAUGAUCAACAGAGACGGGCUGGGGCAUUCGUACCGAGACGUUAGAGGUGAAAUUCUUGGAUCGUCUCGAGACGAACUGACGCGAAAGCAUUUGCCAAGUACGUUCUCGUAUGAUCAAGAACGAAAGUUAGAGGUUCGAAGGCGAUCAGAUACCGCCCUAGUUCUAACUGUAAACGAUGCCAGCUAGCGAUCCGCUGGCGUUUCAUUAACGACCCGGCGGGCAGCUUCCGGGAAACUGAAGAUUUUCGGUUCCGGGGGAAGUAUGAUUGCAAAGUUGAAACUUAAAGGAAUUGACGAAAGGGCUCCACCAGGAGUGGAGCCUGCGGCUUAAUUUGACUCAACACGGGAAACCUCACCAGGCCCGGACACCGGAAAUAUUGACAGAUUGAGAGCUCUUUCUUGAUUCGGCGGGUGGUGCAUGGCCGUUCAUAGUUGGUGGAGCGAUGGUUAAUUCCGAUAACAAACGAGACUCUGUCCUGCUAACUAGGCGGGUAAACCCGGGUCGGCGUGUGCAUUGCGCUGGCGGUAUCGGCCGUCAGUGUUCGAGUACCCGUCGGCUCGGCCCGGUAUCCCCGAACGCGUUCGCCCAUCGUCCACGGCGGUUGUAGGGCGCGGCCGCGCCAUCCACGUCCCGGCGUGCCGCGGGCGUAUGUCGGCCGCGGGGCAACCUCUGGUCGGCUUGCGUCCGUCGUGCGUCGGGCUCCAUGGUGAAGCGCGCUGUGUUCGCGGCCGUCGCCAGCGGAUCACGAUACGUUACUAGGGCUACCGCCGGCUCCCAGGAGCUUAAACUCUUCUUAGAGGUACAGGCGGCGGACGAAAAUAGCCGCACAAGACUGAGCGAUAACAGGUCUGUGAUGCUCUUAGAUGUUCUGGGCCACACGCGCGCUACACUGAAGGAAUCAGCGUGUUUAACAAUCCUGGGCCGACAGGCUUCCGGGUAACCCGCUGAACCUCCUUCGUGCUUAGGGAUCGUGGCUUCCAAUUUUUCCACGUGAACGAGGAAUUCCCAGUAAGCGCGAGUCAUCAGCUCGCGUUGAUUACGUCCUUGCCCUUUGUACACACCACCCGUCGCUACUACCGAUUGAACGGUCGCAUUGAGGUCUUCGGAGUGUACGCGCGUUAUUCGGCCCCCUCGGGGGCUGGGUCGUCUAGCGAUCGCGAAGAUGACAGAAAUCGGCCGUUUAGAGGAAGUAAAAGUCGUAACAAGGUUUCCGUAGGUGAACCUGCGGAAGGAUCAUUA